rnacentral:rRNA from 1 species
CAAUAGCGUAUAUUAAAGUUGUUGCAGUUAAAAAGCUCGUAGUUGGACCUUGGACCUGGACAGGCGGUCCGCCUCACGGCGAGUACUGUCUUGCUGGUCUUUCCUCUUGGUGAUCUGUUGUUUCGGCAGCAGGGAACCAGGACCUUUACUUUGAAAAAAUUAGAGUGUUCAAAGCAGGCUCGACGCCGGAAUAUAUUAGCAUGGAAUAAUAAAAUAGGACGUGCGGUUCUAUUUUGUUGGUUUUUGGAAUCGCCGUAAUGAUUAAUAGGGACAGUCGGGGGCAUUAGUACUCACAUGCUAGAGGUGAAAUUCUUGGAUUUUGUGAAGACUAACUUCUGCGAAAGCAUUUGCCAAGGAUGUUUNCAUUAA